rnacentral:rRNA from 1 species
UACGUAGGGGCCUAGCGUUGUCCGGAUUUAUUGGGCGUAAAGAGCUCGUAGGCGGUUCGGUAAGUCAGGUGUGAAAUCUCCACGCUCAACGUGGAGGCGCCACCUGAAACUGCCGUGACUCGAGUUCGGGAGAGGUGAGUGGAACUGCGAGUGUAGAGGUGAAAUUCGUAGAUAUUCGCAAGAACACCAGUGGCGAAGGCGGCUCACUGGCCCGAUACUGACGCUGAGGUGCGAAAGCGUGGGGAGCAAACAGG